AGAGUUUGAUCCUGGCUCAGAUUGAACGCUGGCGGCAUGCCUUACACAUGCAAGUCGAACGCGAAAGGGGGCAACCCCGAGUAGAGUGGCGAACGGGUGAGCAAUACAUCGGAACGUGUCCUGUAGCGGGGGACAACACAUCGAAAGAUGUGCUAAUACCGCAUACGAUCUACGGAUGAAAGUGGGGGACCGCAAGGCCCCACACUAUAGGAGCGGCCGAUGCCGGAUUAGCUUGUUGGCGGGGUAAAAGCCCACCAAGGCGACGAUCCGUAGCUGGUUUGAGAGAACGACCAGCCACACUGGGACUGAGACACGGCCCAGACUCCUACGGGAGGCAGCAGUGGGGAAUUUUGGACAAUGGGCGAAAGCCUGAUCCAGCCAUGCCGCGUGAGUGAAGAAGGCCUUCGGGUUGUAAAGCUCUUUCGGCCGGGACGAAAUGGCGCGGGGUAAUAUCCCGCGUCGAUGACGGUACCGGAAGAAGAAGGACCGGCUAACUACGUGCCAGCAGCCGCGGUAAUACGUAGGGUCCAAGCGUUAAUCGGAAUUACUGGGCGUAAAGCGUGCGUAGGCGGUUUCGAAAGUCCGAUGUGAAAUCCCCGGGCUUAACCUGGGAACUGCGUUGGAAACUACGAGGCUAGAGUGCGGCAGAGGGGGGUGGAAUUCCAGGUGUAGCAGUGAAAUGCGUAGAGAUCUGGAGGAACACCGAUGGCGAAGGCAGCCCCCUGGGUUAGCACUGACGCUGAUACACGAAAGCGUGGGGAGCAAACAGGAUUAGAUACCCCGGUAGUCC
rnacentral:rRNA from 1 species